rnacentral:rRNA from 1 species
GCUUGAGAGCGGCGGACGGGUGAGUAAUGCCUAGGAAUCUGCCUGGUAGUGGGGGAUAACGUUCGGAAACGGACGCUAAUACCGCAUACGUCCUACGGGAGAAAGCAGGGGACCUUCGGGCCUUGCGCUAUCAGAUGAGCCUAGGUCGGAUUAGCUAGUUGGUGGGGUAAUGGCUCACCAAGGCGACGAUCCGUAACUGGUCUGAGAGGAUGAUCAGUCACACUGGAACUGAGACACGGUCCAGACUCCUACGGGAGGCAGCAGUGGGGAAUAUUGGACAAUGGGCGAAAGCCUGAUCCAGCCAUGCCGCGUGUGUGAAGAAGGUCUUCGGAUUGUAAAGCACUUUAAGUUGGGAGGAAGGGCAGUUACCUAAUACGUAAUUGUUUUGAC